GGCAGCGUGUCAGAGUGGUUAAUGAGUAUGACUCGAACGUCUCGCAAGAGCACAAAUAGAUAUCAUAUGCCUUCGGGCGCGCAGGUUCGAAUCCUGCCGCUGUCG